rnacentral:ncRNA from 1 species
UACCAUGCGUGCCCUUGAGGUGAUUGCCGGUUAGCCAUUCUUAAACGGGAAUCCGGUGCGUGGAUCGUCUUGGCGAGACGCAAUUCCGGAGCAGCCCGCGCAACGGUGGACGAGGUCAGAUGCCGCAACACGCCACUGCGCGCACGCAUGGGAAGGCGCGGCAUCGGAGGCGCAACCUUCCACUCGCGAGCCCGGAAACCGGCCUGAGGGAUUUACCCGGC